GCAUGCUCUAAUAGCUUACGUUGAGAAGACAGCAUCUCAGCGAUGGGAAGAUUCACUUCCGUCUUCCUCUCCUGCCUCUCCUUCCUCCUCUUCGUCGUUCUUCUCCCACACGUCUCUUCGCGGCCAGCGGCCAUGCCCGCUCGACGCAGCAUCGUCGGCGAGACCUGCAACCAGAUCGCGAGAGGCGAUCCCAACGUGGACUUCACCUUCUGUUCGCAGUCGCUGCGGUCGGCCGCCGGAAGCGACGGCGCGGACCUGCACGGCCUCGCCAUCAUAUCGCUAAAGCUGGCGGUCGCCAACGCGACGUCCGCCGCGACCCGGGCGAAGGCGCUGCUGAAGGGCAACGGCCUGAGCCGGUACUACAAGUCGUGCCUGGACGCCUGCCGCGAAGUCUACGCCGACGCCGCGUCGGAUCUCCGCGACGCCACCGGGAUGAUCAGAUCCGGCCGCCUUGUCGACGCCAGGGUGUACAUCAGCGCCGCCGUGGACGCGCCCGUCGUGUGCGAGGACGGGUUCCAAGAAGGUGGACUCGCCUCGCCGCUGGCGGAGGAAGACGGCGACCUGAUGCAGCUUGCUGUCAUCGCCCUCGC
rnacentral:lncRNA from 1 species